rnacentral:tRNA from 1 species
GAAGGUAUAGCUCAGUGGUAGAGCGUGUGCUUAGCAUGCACGAGGUCCUGGGUUCAAUCCCCAGUCCCUCCG